AGUAUGCAGUUUGGGACGCAGGGGUUGUACAUUGGUGUUAUAGAGGAAGUGUUUGAGUGUUUAACACAGUGUGUUUGUUGAAGUGUGUCAUCAGUAGAUCAGUAUGGAGCUCAGUUCUCUUCUUCUAGUGCUCUUGUUGAGUUUCAGCAUCCAUUCCAGGGAAACUGAAGCUUUACCCAGAGCUACAGUGAGAGUAACACCAGACACAUCUGUGUUCACUGGAGAGACAGUCACUCUGAAGUGUGAGAUAGAGAAACAAUACAGAUCAUUACACUGGAGAUAUCUGUGGUAUAAAGACAGAAGUGAAGUGUUGAACUCUAUACAUUACACUGUACAGAACACAAACA